AAAACGACGAACAAAGAACAACACCAACGCUACUCAGAUUGAUAUAAAUCCCAAACGAGACGAUACACUAUGAGAACAAUUUCAGGAUUAUUCAAACUUUACUAACCGCAAAACGCUUUGCUAUUCAAACAACCGAGACGACACAUGUAAAAAAAACGAUGAUUUAUUUACGUGAGAAAAUCAUUUUAUAUAGAUGUUAUUGAUUUCACUGAGCCAAUUUCUUUAAUAAACUGUAUUUUGCAUAACCAAUCAUAA